CCUACGGAGGCAGCAGUGGGGAAUAUUGGACAAUGGGGGCAACCCUGAUCCAGCCAUGCCGCGUGUGUGAAGAAGGCCCUCGGGUUGUAAAGCACUUUCAGUGAGGAAGAACGCCUGGUGGUUAAUACCCAUCAGGAAAGACAUCACUCACAGAAGAAGCACCGGCUAACUCCGUGCCAGCAGCCGCGGUAAUACGGAGGGUGCGAGCGUUAAUCGGAAUUACUGGGCGUAAAGCGCGCGUAGGUGGCUUGAUAAGCCGGUUGUGAAAGCCCCGGGCUCAACCUGGGAACGGCAUCCGGAACUGUCAAGCUAGAGUGCAGGAGAGGAAGGUAGAAUUCCCGGUGUAGCGGUGAAAUGCGUAGAGAUCGGGAGGAAUACCAGUGGCGAAGGCGGCCUUCUGGACUGACACUGACACUGAGGUGCGAAAGCGUGGGUAGCAAACAGGAUUAGAUACCCUAGUAGUC
rnacentral:rRNA from 1 species